rnacentral:rRNA from 1 species
GUGCCAGCAGCGGCGGUAAUACGUAGGGGGCAAGCGUUGUCCGGAUUUACUGGGUGUAAAGGGUGCUCAGGUGGAUUUGUUAGUCGGAGGUGAAACUCCGGAGCUUAACUCCGGAACUGCCUCCGAAACAGCAAGUCUUGAGUUUGGUAGAGGAUGAUGGAAUAUCUGGUGUAGCAGUGAAAUGCGUAGAUAUCAGAUAGAACACCAAUGGCGAAGGCAGUCAUCUGGGCCAUAACUGACACUAAAGCACGAAAGCGUGGGGAUCAAACAGGAUUAGAUACCCUGGUAGUCCACGCCCUAAACGAUGAGUACUAGAUGUUGGUCCCAUAGGGGUCAGUAUCCAAGCUAACGCAUUAAGUACUCCACCUGGGAAGUACGAUCGCAAGGUUGAAACUCAAAGGAAUUGACGGGG